GGAGAGAUGCUCGAGUGGUUUAAGAGGCAUGCCUGGAACGCAUGUAUAGGAGAAAUUCUAUCGAGGGUUCGAAUCCCUCUCUUUCCG
rnacentral:tRNA from 6 species